rnacentral:rRNA from 1 species
UACGUAGGCAGCAAGCGUUUGUUCGGAGUUACUGGGCGUAAAGAGUAUGUAGGCGGUUGGGUAAGUUUGGUGUGGAAUCUCCCGGCUUAACUGGGAGGGUGCGCUAAAGACUGCCUGGCUCGAGUGUGGGAGAGGAAAGUGGAAUUCCUGGUGUAGCGGUGAAAUGCGUAGAUAUCAGGAGGAACACCGGUGGUGUAGACGGCUUUCUGGACCGUAACUGACGCUGAGACACGAAAGCGUGGGUAGCAAACAGG